rnacentral:rRNA from 1 species
UACGAAGGGGGCUAGCGUUGCUCGGAAUCACUGGGCGUAAAGCGCACGUAGGCGGCUUUCUAAGUCAGGGGUGAAAUCCUGGAGCUCAACUCCAGAACUGCCUUUGAUACUGGGAGCUCGAGUCCGGAAGAGGUGAGUGGAACUCCGAGUGUAGAGGUGAAAUUCGUAGAUAUUCGGAAGAACACCAGUGGCGAAGGCGGCUCACUGGUCCGGUACUGACGCUGAGGUGCGAAAAGCGUGGGGAGCAAACAGGG